rnacentral:rRNA from 1 species
UACAGAGGGUGCGAGCGUUAAUCGGAAUUACUGGGCGUAAAGCGCGCGUAGGCGGCUUUUCAAGUCGAUUGUGAAAUCCCCGGGCUUAACCUGGGAACUGCAGUCGAGACUGUCUAGCUAGAGUAUGGGAGAGGGAGGUGGAAUUCCGCAUGUAGUGGUGAAAUGCGUAGAUAUGCGGAGGAACACCAGUGGCGAAGGCGGCCUCCUGGCACACUCCUGACACUCAGACGCGAAAGCUAGGGGAGCGAACGGG